CAGGCCUAACACAUGCAAGUCGAACGGUAGUAGCAAUACUAUAGUGGCAAACGGGUGCGUAACGCGUAAGCAACCUGCCUCAAACUGGGGGAUAGCCCGGCGAAAGCUGGGGUAAACCCGCACGGUCCUAUGGAGUCACCUGGCUUUUUAGGUAAACAUUCAUGGGUUUGAGAGGGGCUUGCGUCUGAUUAGCUAGUUGGUUGGGGUAACGGCUCACCAAGGCGAUGAUCAGUAGGGGUUCUGAGAGGAUUGGCCCCCACAUGGGUACUGAGAUACGGACCCAACUCAUACGGGAGGCAGCAGUAGGGAAUAUUGGGCACUGGAGGCAACUCUGACCCAGCCAUGCCGCGUGCAGGAUGAAGGCGCUCAGCGUUGUAAACUGCUUUUAUUCAUGAAGAACUAUGGUCCUGCGGGAUUACUAGACGCUAAUGAGGGCAUAAUCACCUUCUAACUCCAUCCCA
rnacentral:rRNA from 1 species